CGAAGGGGGCUAGCGUUGUUCGGAAUUACUGGGCGUAAAGCGAACGUAGGCGGUGUUCCAUGUCAGAGGUGAAAGCCUGGGGCUCAACUCCAGAAUUGCCUUUGAAACGGGGACGCUUGAGUCCGAGAGAGGGUGGCGGAAUUCCUAGUGUAGAGGUGAAAUUCGUAGAUAUUAGGAAGAACACCAGUGGCGAAGGCGGCCACCUGGCUCGGUACUGACGCUCAGGUUCGAAAGCGUGGGGAGCAAACAGGAUUAGAUACCCUGGUAGUCCACGCCGUAAACGAUGAGUGCUAGUUGUUGGGAAGUUUACUUCUCAGUGACGCAGCUAACGCGAUAAGCACUCCGCCUGGGGAGUACGGCCGCAAGGUUA
rnacentral:rRNA from 1 species